rnacentral:rRNA from 1 species
UACGAAGGGGGCUAGCGUUGCUCGGAAUCACUGGGCGUAAAGCGCACGUAGGCGGCUUGUUAAGUCGGGGGUGAGAUCCUGGAGCUCAACUCCAGAACUGCCUUCGAUACUGGCGAGCUCGAGUCCGGGAGAGGUGAGUGGAACUCCGAGUGUAGAGGUGAAAUUCGUAGAUAUUCGGAAGAACACCAGUGGCGAAGGCGGCUCACUGGCCCGGUACUGACGCUGAGGUGCGAAAGCGUGGGGAGCAAACAGG